GUUGCGGACGAGGGGACAAACAACGUUGCAACACAUUUUUCAUACUGUAAUCAAUUAAAACGCCAUCAGCUCCGUCGGGAUUCGAACACAAAACCCUAGCGGAAUCUAACCACUCAGUAAAUUUUUUAGUGUUUUGAACAAGAAAAUCCACGUAGUUUUCUAGGACGAGGUUAGCUGGAUUUGUUUGCGUUGAAUGUUGCUUGCAUUUCCAUGACAGUCAACUCUCCGCCUACUUUACUCUUGAGCCACAAUUCAGAGAGGCAGAAAAACGUCUAUGUCCAGGCACAGAGCGAGAAUAAACGGACCAGAUCGUCCAGCGAAUUUCAAGAUAUACUGUUCUUGAGUCGCACAAUGCACAGCAAGAGUCAAGGUCCAAAUGUGGGCGUUUUUGAACCCGGAACGAUCACUGGAAUGAUAAUACAUUUCGAAUCUGAAUGAGGGAGGAGGCAAAGGCCAUACUGGAGCACCUGGCUUUGAGGCAUAGCGUAUCCUAGUCAUCGAUCUAAAAUGUGAAAGGACCUCCUCAAAAAACCUAGGGCGAUCCUUUUUCAUCCGAACAGGGACGUUUGAAAACAACCGCCGUCAAAUCGCCACUUGAAAUACACUAUCAUUUUUUUUCCUCCCCGUUUGUUAAAAACGUUUCGUACUAUGAAUAUGCAUGUAUGAAAAUGAGAAAAUUUAUAUGUGUGGG